UGGGGAAUUUUGGACAAUGGGCGAAAGCCUGAUCCAGCAAUGCCGCGUGUGUGAAGAAGGCCUUCGGGUUGUAAAGCACUUUUGUCCGGAAAGAAAUGGCUCUGGUUAAUACCUGGGGUCGAUGACGGUACUGGAAGAAUAAGGACCGGCUAACUACGUGCCAGCAGCCGCGGUAAUACGUAGGGUCCAAGCGUUAAUCGGAAUUACUGGGCGUAAAGCGUGCGCAGGCGGUUGUGCAAGACCGAUGUGAAAUCCCCGAGCUUAACUUGGGAAUUGCAUUGGUGACUGCACGGCUAGAGUGUGUCAGAGGGGGGUAGAAUUCCACGUGUAGCAGUGAAAUGCGUAGAGAUGUGGAGGAAUACCGAUGGCGAAGGCAGCCCCCUGGGAUAACACUGACGCUCAUGCACGAAAGCGCUGGGAGCAAACAGG
rnacentral:rRNA from 1 species